GACUCCUCACCUGGAAGAAGACUUGAAGGAGGUGCUGCGGAGUGAAGCUGGCAUUGAACUCAUCAUAGAGGAUGAUGUGAAGCCUGAGAAGCAGAAGAGAAAACAAGGGCUGCGCAGGAGCCCCAUCAAGAAGGUGCGGAAGUCCCUGGCCCUGGAUAUUGUGGAUGAAGACAUGACACAGAACCUGCCUGCCCUCCCCAAGACUGUGUGCUUCAAAAGAGCCCAGCCUGUGAAUUUCCUGUCAAGGUCCCUGAACAUCUCCUCCUCGAGCAGAAAGAAUGACAGUGGUUUGCUCAACAGAGCCUUUGUGCAAGUGCAGCCAGAGAAAAUGUCCUACAGGAAGAUGCCAAGCCAUUUCAGACCCCCAGCACCGGUAAGCCCUGCAGCCAC